rnacentral:rRNA from 1 species
GUGGACGCCAGUCUGCAUGGAGCCGACCUUGAAAUACCACCCUUUAAUGUUUGAUGUUCUAACGUGGACCCGUAAUCCGGGUUGCGGACAGUGUCUGGUGGGUAGUUUGACUGGGGCGGUCUCCUCCUAAAGAGUAACGGAGGAGCACGAAGGUUGGCUAAUCCUGGUCGGACAUCAGGAGGUUAGUGCAAUGGCAUAAGCCAGCUUGACUGCGAGCGUGACGGCGCGAGCAGGUGCGAAAGCAGGUCAUAGUGAUCCGGUGGUUCUGAAUGGAAGGGCCAUCGCUCAACGGAUAAAAGGUACUCCGGGGAUAACAGGCUGAUACCGCCCAAGAGUUCAUAUCGACGGCGGUGUUUGGCACCUCGAUGUCGGCUCAUCACAUCCUGGGGCUGAAGUAGGUCCCAAGGGUAUGGCUGUUCGCCAUUUAAAGUGGUACGCGAGCUGGGUUUAGAACGUCGUGAGACAGUUCGGUCCCUAUCUGCCGUGGGCGCUGGAGAACUGAGGGGGGCUGCUCCUAGUACGAGAGGACCGGAGUGGACGCAUCACUGGUGUUCGGGUUGUCAUGCCAAUGGCACUGCCCGGUAGCUAAAUGCGGAAGAGAUAAGUGCUGAAAGCAUCUAAGCACGAAACUUGCCCCGAGAUGAGUUCUCCCUGAGACUUAG